CCACGGCGAACGGGUGAGUAAUACCUAGGAACAUCCCUCUAGUUGAGCAUAACCUGCCGAAAGGCAGGAUAAUUCUUGAUGUGGCAGCAAUGCUAAAGUCGCAAGACGCUAGAUAAAUGGCCUGGGCACCAUCAGCUAGUUGGUAGGGUAAAGGCCUACCAAGGCUAUGACGGUUAGGGGCCCCGAGAGGGGAAACCCCCACACUGGAACUGCGACACGGUCCAGACUCCUACGGGAGGCAGCAGUUUGGAAUUUUGGACAAUGGGCGAAAGCCUGAUCCAGCGACGCCGCGUGGACGAUGAAGGCCUUCGGGUUGUAAAGUCCUUUUGCAAGGGAAGAAUUUCAUGACGGUACCUUGCGAAUAAGAGGUUGCUAACUCUGUGCCAGCAGCAGCGGUAAUACAGAGACCUCAAGCGUUAUCCGGAAUCAUUGGGCGUAAAGCGUACCGAUAGGUGGUUGUACAAGUCAGAAGUGAAAUCUCCGAGCUCAACUCGGAAUCUGUCUUUUGAAACUGUACGACUAGAGGGGCAAAGAGGAAGCUAGAACGAACGGUGUAGUAGUGAAAUGCGUUGAUAUCGUUCGGAAUACCGAUAGCGAAGGCAGGCUUCUGGGUGCCACC
rnacentral:rRNA from 1 species